UUUAUCGCUCACUAGAUAUAACUCUGAAGUGUAAUAAGUUUUUUAAGGUAUUCUAAGCUAUUUUGAAUUUGGCAGCACCACGUUGUUUUGACAGCAGUCAUUAAAGGGGGGCUUCGGUUUUUUCUUGAAUUGUAUUCGCAAGGCUUAGAAAACGAAGGCGACUAUUGAAAAAAAUAAAGGUAAUCCAAAUGCCCAAAAAACGGAUCAUUAAAAAUUUUUAAAAAGUUUGAGUCGCGAUGGCAAAUAUGAUUACACGACAGCAAAUUAUCAAUACUUUAGCAGCAGCGGGUAUUGAUUUUGAUUGAGAACGUGCCAGGUGAGAGCGUGCCAGAUGGGGAUACCGGCAGGGUUUGCUGGCUCGUGUUACUUUAGUUGAUGACCUGAAGGCUCAUGAAGAACUCGUAAAAACGAGCUAUAACGGGAUCUUAACCCAGCUGACAGUCGUAGAAUUGAUAUAGCUGAACUUGAUGCACUGAUGAAUAAAUUUGACGGUUCUGAGUUUCAAGAUGUCACGAAUGAAUGCGAUGUUUGAUGUUUGUCGUUGCAGUGACAGAUACAAGUUAAUUGCUGCUCGUCAUUUACAAAUUUGCCACGCUAAAAUAUUCAUUGAUGCUGCUGCAAUGUGUUCGUAUUUUCAAUAAGUUUAAAUCACGUCGCAUUAAACCAGCAGAAACACCGCGAUAAUACAUUGUCGAAAUGCAAUAUAUUGCUAGCCGAGUUAAAGUACUUGAAGCUGAUUUGGAUGAUAUAAUCAUUGAUUGUUUAAAUGACAAAUUUUCUUAUGGUACGAUGUUAUAUGGCGCCAAUUCAAUCAGAGAUUUGAAGACUCUUAUGGAGCUCUAUGAAAAGAAGCGGAAAAUUUUCACAGUCCCAGCGACCAUCCCGACAAAGGCCAAACCAGCUUUAAGUGGAAAAGUGGAUAUUGUUUUAGUUGCUUUCAACAUGGCCACUAUCCGAAUGCUUGUACGGAUCCCAGACGUCCACCAAAUUCAUGCUUCAUGUGCUCUGAAAUCGGCCACACACGCCAAAACUGUCCUCGUUACGCUACAAGAAACAACCGUUAUAUUGCAGCCGCUGUAGGAGAUGAUGCAAAUCCUGAAGUCCGUCAACUGGCAGAACGAUUUUCUUCAAAUAAUUUGUUUCAUAAAACGGUCUUACGUGUCAUAAUCAGUAAACCCCAACAGGGAACAAAAGUUGACACAAUAUCGUGGAAUCGCAAGAAUUGCUCCACAAUAAUGCUAUUUUGCCAGAUUCAGAUGAGAUUUUACCAGUGCUGGUUGGGCGUGACCUUUUAAACAAAAUGCAAAUAGCAUUGUGCCAAACAAAGACAAUUAGUUUUAAGCCAAAGGAGUUAUUUAACAUAAGAGCUUAAAAUAAGUUUCGUGUUUCGGAAAAAUUUGUCCGUGCACUUCGCUUUCUUGAUUUUGUAUAUAGAAGCCCACUAGCUAGUUGCCAGUCUGCUAGCACUGUACAUAAUAUAUGCACAAUUAAACGAAAAGUGUCCAGACACUAAUGGGUCGGAGGUUAAUGGUUACUCAAUGCAUAUUAAAUUGAAGACUAAAUCCAGUGUACAGUAGUGCGAGAAGACUCUCGUUUAUGGAGAAGUUUGAAAUUCAAAGAACAAUCGAUGAGUUAUUGGCUCAGGGAACCAUGGUCUGGUGUUUCGCAUAAGUGGACAGUAUCAACAAUUGUAUUUGCCGGCAGAAAUGCAAGAAAGUGUUAUGAGAACGGUACACGAAAACUAUGGCUACCAAGAAGUUAAUAAGUGCGCAAAUCAAAUCCAAAAGCACUAAUAUUUUAUAUAAUAUAUGUAUAAUAACAUAAACGUGUUCUUGUAAUAGUGGACGUGUUUACUAAAUUUGUGAAGCUGGUGAAUAAUAGCUUAAAAGAAACUAUAUGUGUGCUUAAGAAGUACUUUGUAGAUUACAGUCGUCUUCGAAGGUUCAUAAGUGACCGGGGAACAGCUUUUACUUUCAAUGAAUUUGAAGAUUUUUGUAAGGAAUGCAAUGUUAACCACAUUUUGAAUGCAGUCUAACGGCCAGGUAGCGUGUAAAUCGUGUUUAAAGGACAUUUUGGCAAUAGUUACUGAGCGAAUAAAUAUUGCCGAUUGGAAGAAAAAGCUAACUGCGGUAGAGUUCGCUAUAAACAAUACUGUACACUGGGCCACUAAACAAACUCCGGGUCCGUUGCUGUUUGGUGCUGAGCAAAGGGGAGAGCAAGUUGAUGAGUUAACUGAAUACCUUCAUGACGUUUAUGCUAAACCUAUCGAAAAUCUUGAAGAUUUAAGGAAUAAAGCUGAUGUUGCCAUUAUAAAAUCUCAGUUGGACAAUCAGAGGAAUUUCGAACGAAACCAUAGGCCACCUAAAGAGUUCGAGGUAGGAGGCUUGGUAGUAAUAAAGAAUGUAGAUAUUACUGUAGGGAAAAUAUAAAAUGAAUUCCUAGGUACAAGGGUCCAUAUGUAGUCCGUAAGCAAUUAGGCUUUGUAAGAUAUGUGGUUGCAGAUGUUGAAAAUUGCUGUGAUUUAUAGAUUUGUAAGAGUGGUAACUACAAAAAAAAAAAAUCUGAAGCAAUGGAUUGAGCAUAAGUAGAUUUUAUUGCUGAUGGAGUAAAAUUAACCAAACUUACUUAUUUUCAUCUUUGCCAGAACUACGGUUUUCACUUGACGAUCU